ACUCUUCCUGAUAGGAACAGGCAGAAAGCCACAGAAAUGAUGCUGAAAUUAAUAUGAAAAGAAAACAAACCAAAAUAAGAACAACCAAACAAAAAUGCCCUGAGAAGGUAACUGUGUUUGUGUUCAUAUAUAUCAGUGCCACAGUCCAGACUGCAAGUGGCAUUCACCACCUUUGGCCUUUUCCAACCAGUCUGUCAGCGACAUCUGCUACCUGGCACCUGGUGUACCCAGCGAGGGGAAAAUAAUCACACGUGUGGCAAGGCGAGAGCUGGGAAUCACAGUCCUAAAGGUGGUCUGCAUCACUGCCAGAUGGCAGGAUGAGAGAGCCGAGAGCAUCCAGGAAUAAAACCGUGGCAGGAUUUGUAAGGGAAGAGAACAGCUUUUUAAACCAUCGCGUGGCUGCUGAUGAGCAAGGCAUAUGCAUCUGAUGUUGGAAUGAAAUGGAUUUGAAAGCUCUCACCAAAAAAAUGAUCUCAGUGAGUGCUGUGAAAGCACCUUCAGGGCACUGUUAGCCAGAGAGGUCACCGUGCUGGGCACCACCCAUAUCCCCAUCCUGGUACCCUCCCUGUGAGCCUUGUGAUGGCAAGUCAUCCUGGUGGCAUUCUCUCAAGGGAAAAUCAAGAGAGUGCGCAGCCUGGUUUUGUCGUUAGUCAGUGCAAGAAUGUGCCUGUAGAAGCAGAUCAAGGUUUGGAUUACACUGAAGGAGAGAAGCACUCGUUCCUGCCUCCUGCCGGGCCGUGCUGCUGGAAGCGCAGCGGAGGAGCUCCCCCUGCAGCCCCCGAGCCCGAUUACCCAGCACCAAGGAAAUACCAAACACCUUACCUUAUAUAAAGAAAUGUCUCUUUUUGCUUCUAGUUCAGAGAAUGUGGCAGCCGUGCUGUCAGUGCAUCAGCAGAGAGAUCCAUCUCCUGCUUGAAGGGUAAUAUGUGAUACUCCUGUGGUCCCCUGGGCUGGAGAGCUUCACCCAGCAACGAAGUCACAUAAAACUAGCAGAGUUUGUCUGCUAAACAAUAUUUCUAAAUAAGCACCCUAAUAUUUCUCAUUUCCCCUUGGCAACAUCUCUUCUGGAGAAAAUUGAGUUAGCGUUCCCAUUAAUCAGAUGCACGAGGAACAAAGUUUUACUCUGUGGGAUGUGGAGGAAUGUGCUUUUUUUAAACCCCUCAAAGGAUACAGUUUGUCUGCGCUGGGAUUUGGUACCCAAGGGAUUUUAAAAGACUGUGUGGCCUGGGCUGAAAAGCCCUUUAGCUGCUGGGCUAAAAGGAGACUUUGAAGCAGAAUGGCCCGACCCAUUAAUUUCUCAUCCCUGGUGCUUUGGGGCUGUAAUGGAGAUGGAUGUACUCCAGCAUCUGAGGAGCUGAUGGGGAACGAAGCAAAGACCUGGGGAGGAAAGUUGUAGUAACAACAGCUUGGAAAGCAUCAAAAAAGUCUUUUUUUUUAGAUUUGAUCUACAUCCUUUUGGUGGCACUGUCUGCCCAAAUAUUACCAGGUCACCAGCUGCUGCUCUGGGUAAAGUCUCUCCUGCAGACCUGCCUUCCUCAGGUAACAAAACAGCUCUCCUUGCUGGUGGGGGAUGCAUUGCAGUGAACAGCUGCUGCUGCUCCCUCAGUGAUUGGAGGAAAGGUGUGGAUCAGGCACUGAUUGCAGUUGGUAAUUAGCUAGCAAUGCAGCAGCUAUAAAUAGCCACUGGGCAAAGCUGUAUGCUCCUAAUGCUGAUCCAGUCUGAGCUUGGAGUUUUUUUUUUAUGUAAUUUUCUCUCUUUUUAAUUUUUUUAUUAAAUUAUCAUGUAACAGCUGUAGCUCAGCUUUGCUGCAGCUCAGCAGGAGGCCUGGCCCUGUGCUGCAGCGCGUUGCUUUCCCUGGAUAUCCAGGCAGCAGAGUGAUGCUGUGAGUCCCUCCAGUGAGGACGAAGGCAAAUUCUUCCUAUAGUCUCUGCAGUGGAUUAAUAGAGCUUAAACAGGACAUUGUGAGCAUGGAAUGAGUGGGACUGAACACGAACAAAGGCUGCUUUUCCAUUAACAUAAAUGAGAAACCAUCUCACUGUGCUUGCUUAGUCAAACUGUUGCCCACAAAGACGCGGUGUUUGCUUCUCUCACGUAAAUUUCCCUGCAGCUUUCAGGCCCUCUGAUUGCUGUUUGCAACUUGGAAGACCUCAGUUUAACUUUGUUUGCUGUUCUUCUUGGCAUUAUUGAUGGCAGAGAUGUUGCCUCGCAGAUGGCAGUGUUCACCUCUUGAAAUUAGCCUGUUCCUCUUUCCCAGAUGAUGCUCCACUACCCCGGCCCAGCGGGGCUUGGCAGCAUAACAGAAUCCCUUUCCUAGAAGAGCAUAAUAGAAGCAGAAGGGUGGAAGGAUGCUUGGAGGGGUGAACAUGGAGGAAGCUAUAUUUAGCUGGAGACAAAGCGCACACACAAAAUUAAACUAAAUUUGAGGACUAAAUGAUUACAACUGUUGAGAAUUUCAAGGCCAUUUAUGUAAGCCAAACUCCAAGCAGCCAUGAACUUUUCUGAAGAGUUGGGUAUCCAACUUUCAUCAGCAGAAAAGGCUGCUUUAUUCUCAUUUUCAAUUGCCAGUGGGGUCUGCACAGAAGCUGUGUUGUGCACUGCUGUAGCAUGUGCCAAGUGCCACAUCUGUACAGGAGCAGGAGGAAGGUGAUCUCAUCAAGCUGGAACUCAUCCUGCCUGCUAGGUCUUCAUCUGGUGGCUGGCACAACAUAAGGCUUGGAAGCCAAGGAUGGGAAUUGACCUAAAUGUGUAUCUCUGUAGUGCAGGUGUGUACGUGUGAAAGUAGGUUCCUGUUUGGUCACAGUCAAUGCUCACCCUCGGGCAGGUACAUGGAUCAGGUGGGCUGCACUGCAGGGAUGACUCAGAUUGCAGAGGUAGCUGAGAUCAGCAGCUCAGGCACUGGCAGCUGCAGAAGGGAAGUGAAAAGUUUGCAUGGACAAACUCUGUCCAAAAUGGCGAGAAGAUCCCUCUCCCCAGCCAGCCCUGUUGUGGCUCCUGUCUUCCCAGUUCUCUUUUGUCUGUGCCCCAGUUCUCUCUGUGAGAGCACAGGUGAUCCAACAUGUAGGAGAGCAGCUCAUGGGCGUCACCAUUUCCAGGAGAGCCGGAUGGUCACUUCCCCAUGACCUCACGUUGCUGUACAGCCCACGUUACUGAGGUCUGUGCUGAUUGAACAUUGACUCCUCUCUUAACCUCUUCUCUGGCAGCACUCUGUUCUGCCUUAAUAGAACUGCUGUAAGAGUGGUGCUGGUGGAAUGGCCCUCUAUGAAGUGUGGUAGAGGCUGAGCAGGCGCCUGUUGGUGCAACAGUCAGAGCUCUGGAACUUGAGAAUGCCCUUGAGCAAAGUGUUCCAUUUAAGCUCAUUAGCAGUACACCCACAGCAUGCCUGCCUCUGCCAAGGGAACUUCCUGCUUUUUCAGUCUCAUCCAUGGCUGCAGUAUCCCGUUGGUCUAAGACACAUCUUAGAGGCACCAGCUCCUCCAGGCAUUUGUCAGAGACUUCCACUAGAGAGUAGAAUAAGCAAACAGGUGAUGAAAAGACUGAAGGCUUCCCUGCGUUGCCUAAUUCCCCCUGGGAAAAUACAUAUUUAGCAAGAUGUGCUGAGAUCAAGGGCAGGGAAAAGCUUUGCAGCUGUUGAUAGCAGAGACUCCAUGCCUGCUUCUGG